GGGAUAACAGUUGGAAACGGCUGCUAAUACCGCAUAAGCGCACAGUACCGCAUGGUACAGUGUGAAAAACUCCGGUGGUGUGAGAUGGACCCGCGUCUGAUUAGCUAGUUGGCAGGGCAACGGCCUACCAAGGCGACGAUCAGUAGCCGACCUGAGAGGGUGACCGGCCACAUUGGGACUGAGACACGGCCCAAACUCCUACGGGAGGCAGCAGUGGGGAAUAUUGCACAAUGGGGGAAACCCUGAUGCAGCGACGCCGCGUGAGCGAAGAAGUAUUUCGGUAUGUAAAGCUCUAUCAGCAGGGAAGAAGAAAUGACGGUACCUGACUAAGAAGCACCGGCUAAAUACGUGCCAGCAGCCGCGGUAAUACGUAUGGUGCAAGCGUUAUCCGGAUUUACUGGGUGUAAAGGGAGCGCAGGCGGAAGGCUAAGUCUGAUGUGAAAGCCCGGGGCUCAACCCCGGUACUGCAUUGGAAACUGGUCAUCUAGAGUGUCGGAGGGGUAAGUGGAAUUCCUAGUGUAGCGGUGAAAUGCGUAGAUAUUAGGAGGAACACCAGUGGCGAAGGCGGCUUACUGGACGAUAACUGACGCUGAGGCUCGAAAGCGUGGGGAGCAAACAGGAUUAGAUACCCUGGUAGUCCACGCCGUAAACG
rnacentral:rRNA from 1 species